UUUAUCGGAGAGUUUGAUCCUGGCUCAGGACGAACGCUGGCGGCGUGCCUAAUACAUGCAAGUCGAGCGGACAGAUGGGAGCUUGCUCCCUGAUGUUAGCGGCGGACGGGUGAGUAACACGUGGGUAACCUGCCUGUAAGACUGGGAUAACUCCGGGAAACCGGGGCUAAUACCGGAUGCUUGUUUGAACCGCAUGGUUCAAACAUAAA
rnacentral:rRNA from 1 species